UGGGGAAUUUUGGACAAUGGGCGAAAGCCUGAUCCAGCAAUGCCGCGUGCAGGACGAAGGCCUUCGGGUUGUAAACUGCUUUUGUACGGAACGAAAAGACACUGGCUAAUACCUGGUGUUGAUGACGGUACCGUAAGAAUAAGCACCGGCUAACUACGUGCCAGCAGCCGCGGUAAUACGUAGGGUGCGAGCGUUAAUCGGAAUUACUGGGCGUAAAGCGUGCGCAGGCGGUUUUGUAAGACAGAGGUGAAAUCCCCGGGCUCAACCUGGGAACUGCCUUUGUGACUGCAAGGCUAGAGUGCGGCAGAGGGGGAUGGAAUUCCGCGUGUAGCAGUGAAAUGCGUAGAUAUGCGGAGGAACACCGAUGGCGAAGGCAAUCCCCUGGGCCUGCACUGACGCUCAUGCACGAAAGCGUGGGGAGCAAACAGG
rnacentral:rRNA from 1 species